UCGCACGUGAGCGUGCGGUAGGCCCGCGUUUU
rnacentral:sRNA from 1 species